CAUUGGACGGAAGCAGCGGCAGCGUGACAAAUAAAAAAAAGGAAGCAGCGGCGGCGUGACGCAGUCCGGAUCUCACAGGACACGAGCCGGUCGGCUUGGUUACGAGGCUCAGGGCUCAGGGCUUCUCGCCGCCACCGCCGCCCCCUGAUGUAGAUGGCGUACGGGUGGUUGCAGUCUGCUACACUCCAGCGAUUCCCGUGAUUCCAACGGCCUGGUCCUCUGCAUCCUCGGUCGCCUCCUCCUGAACAUCUGCCCGUCUCGCUUCACCAGGCCUUGAUCCCUCUUUCUUGUGGCCAAUGGGGGAAUCCAUGCCGGGGAGCAACAUGCACCAAUGGAGUUCCUGCAGAGCAGAGCACGCAGACCAUGGUGGCCGUCACGGUCGCCGUGACCACUGGCGCCGGAUUUCCUCCUCCGGCAGCAAAAAAAGGUUCGCGCGCGCCAACUCCUAUAGAUAGUGUGCGGGUUCUUUGGAUCAAGUACAGAGUUGGGAAAUUUGUUGUGGAUUUUGUGAGAUUGAUAUACUUGAGGCGUAGCCAUCUGCGUCUUUGAUUAUCCAUGAAGCUGCUCAAUAUAGAUGUGUUCUUUUUUCGUCUGGAUACAUGCACCAGUUCCGCUCAGGACUGUACCGAUUCAUACUUUCGAGGUAAUUUAGGUGAACCCGGGUGAUUAAAUUUUGUCGUACUUCCAUGCAUGCUCCCCUCUCUCAGUUUCUCUAGCGAUGUGUUGCUUCUGUGUUUCGUUGGUGGCACCAGACCAAUUCAUCUCUACCACAUGACCUGAUGCUCUGUAUUUUUUGGGACGUAUUUGUCUUCUGGAAGAAGCUAGCUUUGACGGAUUUAGGUGUGAUUUAUCUAGAAAAGGAAAACUAUACGAGGCAAGCCAACGGCAAGAAAGACAAACAAGAUGACGCCGGACUGUUGGAAGGUGACAUGCUGGAUCCAUGGCGGGCUGGUGCUUUGCAGAUGAACCGACUAAGAGAUUUGUGCGCUAGCCCAACAAGAAGGUGCAGCGCUAUUCUACACUCUUCUCAAAGGACAUGUCGCUGACCUCUGCGAGCGAGCGAUGGUGGUGAGAGUCUGCAAUAGAGAACAGACUUGAAAACGGCGUCCACAAAUUGCAUUGUCAGAGGCGGUACCUUGUAGAGGCAAGGCCUAUGGUGGCGGCAUCUAGGCCCUGAUGACGGCAACGGUAAGGUGUACAUUAGGUACAAAGCUACACAACCUCACCUUCUAUCUCGAGUUCUCGACAAAGACGGGUCAGGCACCAGCUUCAUCAUACACAGGUUGUUCUUCCUGUGCAAAAGCACCAGAGUCGAGUUAUGUCACCACCAUGAUGAUGAACGGCGACCCGUCUUUGAAAAUCAAACGAGCGGAAGCAGAAUGACUCUUUUUAUACCAUACGUAACAUUUUAUCUCCAGGAUUUUAUCGACUUUCUCGACUCCAAUCGCCCUUAGAAUGCUCUUUUUUUAUACUUUCUAUAUUUCCUCCUCAAUACCCGUCGGUAUUGCAUGUCGGAUGUGCCAUUGCUUAUAGCGACAAUCUUGAAUUGGGCGACAGAGAUAAUGGGUGGAAUAAGAAGAAGAGAAGUGAGUUAAACGUUAACAAAAAUCAGCAAUGCUAUCUGACGUGUACGAGGAUCCUAAAGGUACAUAUUUGACAUGUUUGAUAAUAUUGCACAAUUAGAAUAUUUAUGCCUUCGAGCCUGAUUCUCAGCCCUUGCAUUCUCCCGUUGCAACGCACGGGCUCUUAAUAAAGCACAGAUUGACUCCGUGGGUUCACCGUCACAAUACGUUUUCUUCCUGUGAAUUUGCACUUUCAGUUUUUAUUAAAUGUAAUGAUUUUAGAUCUUUCUUAGUUUGUUGGUGGUACUAUUCAUGUGAUCAUAUGGCCCGCCACGCACGACUGUUCCGUUGUUCCUGUUAUUAAUCAGGAAGAAGCAUUUUGGUACCUAAAAGAUCUCCACGAACAGGAAAAAGGAGUUGAUCAAGGACACGAGACGGGACCGAGUUGACGUCCAUCGAGAUCAACCUACCACGCCUACAUAUAAAAACAGGAGAGGAGGCGGCGGCCAGAGGUAAGGGACGAGGAAGUGCCCAGGGUGGCGGCGGCUGGAGCUUGGAGGGGCCGGAUCCGUGCGCGUCAGGGGCUGGGGAGGCGGAUCCGGAGGUGGGCGGCGCGGGGGUGUCGCCGGUGACGGCAAGGAAGGCCGGAGCGCGGCUUCUCGGGCAGAAACGAGACAAGGAGGUGAGGAGAGAAGAAGCGACAAGCAACAAAGGAAGGGAGGUGCGACGACCUAGGCAGGAGCUCGCCGGAGCCGGGCGACGACCGACGGGCGCGGGUGACGGAGGGAUAUGACACGGCGUUGCGAAAUCCUUUGCGGGUGCGAGCGGACGACGGCGCGAUGGACGGCUGGGCGUGCGACGACGCGGAGCCCUCCUGUCGCUAUGGCGCCCCAGUGGAGUGCCCUGAGGCCGCGGAUGCUGCUCCUACACCCACACCACCAGCCCAAGGUCAGUCUCCUCUACCUGGUUGACUGGUUCUAUAGCGCAGCUCCCGUCUCGCACCAUGCUGCUGAACUUCUGCCCCUCAACCCCACUGCUCCUCCUAAAUUAGCUCAAUGGCGUUGACUCUUCCAUAGAGGAUGGUGUGGUGUCAGGCCAGGCAGCAUAACACUCGACGAGUACACGUUCUGCAGGUGGAUUCGUACUCUUCCACUCUAAUUCAUUACUUAUUUGUUUACUAAUUUUAUGUUCACGAUAGACUGAUUGUGUUUUGGAAUUUCACAAUCCCUUCUAUCUCUCUAUUAUGAUUUUGGUUUCUUGCCCUAUUGUGCUGAUAUAGCGGGCUGACCUUAGGUAGUAAAAUAAAUCAUGUCCCUUCCACAAAAUAAGAAUUUUUUACUGUUACAUACUCAUCAAAGUUACAUGAUGUGCAGUUUAGAAAUUUGAUUUCUAGGGGACUUUUACUACAUGUCCAGUUAUGGUUUCAUGAUAAAAGGAAUGCACACAAAACAUUUGUUGAAUUACUACUUGAACAAAAUGUAUGGAGUUCUUGUUGCGUGCUCCAAGUCAUCAACCAUGUAAAAUAAAUCCUAUAAGCUGUUCUCACCAUACGAUCUUUUGAACCAAUUUUGUGAAGUUGGUAUGAUAUGAUUAUUAUUUUUGUAAGCUUCCCUAUAGAUAUAUUGGAGCUAUGAACUCUGCAAAAGCCACUAAAAUAUAUAUGUAGACUUGCAUAGAAAUAAUUCAUUUUUAAUUGUUAUUUGGUGAUUAUGGCUCGCAGCCCUCGAGGCUGAGCAGCCGCCAUUGGCUCGUGGGUAUGGAAGCAGAGUCCGGGAUGGCGAUGGUGCCAAGGAGGACUCUUGGACGUCCACCAAUUGCAUCGCUGCUGCCGUACCCAUGGAGUGGCGCGGCUCCAACUACUCUGAGAUGGUAUUCCUCCCUCUUUCUUUCCUAACAGAACUAUUCGGUGUCAUCCCCUUUUUUAAAUGAAGUACAACCUGCUAGCUACCUAAUGGGCACUGCCACUGAACUUGUCAACCCCUUCAGUUCUGCCGAUGCAUUGUAGACUCCAACAAUGGUGGAAAGGAAUCAGAUUCCAAUGAAACUAGCACUAUUGUGUUUUUAGACAGUUGCCUUUUUUUGCUAAAUUACCUAGCUUCUUCGUGGUAGAGUAGGUACAAAGAUACUCUCUGAUGAAUUUGAUUGGUAUUGUGUAAAGUAGAAAGCCUGAAAUUACUUCGUUGGUAACUGAGUUAACUAAUCCCAGAACUAGAAACAGGUAGGUGAUCGAAAGAUUUGCGGAUUGUGAACCUUUUACUCAGUCUUAUCCCUAGGGUGCACAACAUUUGCUUUUAGCAAAGGGUAUCUAUUGCUGAGAUUCUUACAAAUUGCUGGGAGUCAGCAUAAAGUACAUGGAACACAUUGGUGCGAUAUUUUAAAAUUGUGAAACAGCCUCCAAGCUACUUGUGAAGGUGUCAAUUUCUGCAUUGAUAAAGAUUCAAUUAUACUUCUGAUGGGAUUUUUUCUGUUAGCUAUCUGUACAAGAGAAUGAACUUGAGAAAUAUUAAUUUCUAGAUAAAUUUCUUUGGAAAGUGAAGCUUCCCCUGAAAAUUAAAGUUUUUCAUGGCUGGUUUUAAAAGAAUAAACAUACUAACUAAAGUCAAUUUAUUCAAACGAUGUUUUCGGGGAGAUAAAACCUGUCAAUUGCGUGGUAGAGAUGAGAUUAUUGGUGCAGAGGAAUCAGUAUUACAACAGAACUUGAAGCUGCCGAAGAUGGAUGAUGUUUGGUUUUGGUGGAAAGAUCAGGUGCAUAUGAACAACCUAUCAUCUUCCAUUUUUGCUUUUCAUCAUUCAACGGGACAAUUUCCUAAUUCUUUGUUAGUACUCUCUGGAAAGAUUAUUAGUAUGGGUAUAGGUUUGUCAAAAUUUAUUUGCACAUGAUUCUUUGGAGUGGGAUUCUAGAUAGAAGCUUAUGAACCUCAUAAAAAAGUAGUACGCCUUUGAUCCUAACUGACUGUUUGUAUGUUGGAUGAUUUCAACUUGCUAUGUCCCAACAUACUUUUUUUUUCUAACAAAAACUGUAGGAGAAGUCCUAACAGUCUACACUUCUGCAUUGUAUCUUGAAAAGUAGAUCAUUUCUCUAGCAUUCUGACAAAUGGUAGUUUGCAGAUUGAUUAGUUGGUUCCAGUUCCUUUAGCAGGUACAUCACUUCUCAAUGAUAAUUCUGUCCCACUACCGAAGAAAAAAAAAUAUAAUGGUAAUGUUCAUUGGUGCUAGGCCUCCAGAAGUGGGUUUGUCGGAUUUUCAUUUUCUUUGUAUAUUAAAUGUAAUAUAUAUACACACUGAUAUAAAAGCAUCAUGACACCAUACCAAGAUUUUAAUUUUCGUGGCAGCAUGGCUGUGCUUAGUUCAGUUUUUCUUGGUCUACUUCCAGUUAAUUCCUUAUUGUGUUGUGGUGUUGGGAAACAUACUUAUCCGUGACUCCUGCAGCCUGUAGAUUUUGGGGAGAUAGAGUAUGUACUGUAGGUUCAUUUUGUUUUCUCCUAAUCAAACUCAGGGUGUGUGCACAACUACAGAAUUAGCAAAGAGACUUUUUUCAGACAGAAAGACAAUCUAAUACUCCCUGUGUUCAAUUUUGUAAGACGUUUUAGACAUGAGGAAGUAUUAGGUCUUAGUAUGAACAAAUGAUCAAUAUCAAACAUCGUGAAAUAGUUUUUUCUUCCGUUGCAACGCACGGGCCCUUUUGCUAGUAAUAAUAUAAUCUUUCCCUAAUAAUAAAGUACGGAUUGACUUUGUCGGGUUCACUGUCACAAUACGUUUUCUUUUCAUGUCAUAUUACGCUUUUACAGUUUGUAUAGUCAAAAUCGUAAUAUAAACGAAGUGGUACUAUUCUAACUUGCCCGUAAAUUCGUCCGUAACAAUUUUCGUCCGUCCUUCGAAUUGUAAAAAGAAAUAAACCAGGACGGGCUCUCCUCCUCGAUGCCUACAGGCACGGCGGCGCCGCCGCCGCCCCAACGCGCGGCCGCACAGCCGAUCUUCUUCCCCGACCCCGACCCUUUGCAAUUCUGUCUCCUUCCCCUCUCCAUCUUCCCAAAUCUUCUCCUGUGCCACCCUGAGCCUUCUCGGUCUCCAACCUCCUGCAAUCUUCAAGCCCGCCGGCACCCAAUCCGCCUACAAUCUUCAAGCCCGCCAGCACCAAAAGCAACCAGCGGUCGAUUCGAGUGACCCCCGCUAGGAAUCCAUGGGAUUUGAGGUGGAUUUCCUAGGAGAGCGAGUAGGAAGGGUGAUGGUGGGGUUCAUGGGGAAGGUGAAGAAGCAGAAGGUGAUCCACGGCCCGCACGCGACGCCGAGCCACCACGGGCCUCCUCCCCUGCCGCUCGCCGCCAUGCCGGGACGGCGUACUGGGCCUUGCCGGAAGCCGAGGACAAGCGAGACAAUGGCCAUCCACCCUGGGCCAAGGACAAGCACAGAGCGACCAGCGGAGAUAACUAUGCUCGGGCAGAUGGAUCCCGCCGCGGCGGAGUUCGAGGAGAACAGUAGCUGUGAUGACUCAACAAGAUGGAAGUGCGGGACAAGGGAUGAGUGCAAUCGGCUCAGGUAAACUCCUCCUGUACACCGUCUGGCAUCAGUUCCAGUUGCGCCCGAAGCUUUCAAUCUCGCUGCUCCACUUAGUUUGCCGAAACACUGUCGGCAUGUGCUCCAUCCAAGGUACGCCAUCGUCCAAUUCUAUCAUCAGUUUUGAACUUUAAACUAAUGACUAAUGGGUCGGAGUGGCCAGGCCUGAAAGUUCAAGGAAGAUUCAGCUUACAUUUGAAUUCCUUUGUAUUGCCUACAAUGUUAUAGCUUAAAUUCUGCUAAUAAAUUUCUAUCAAUGAUGUUCCAAACAAUUUCUUAGAGAUGGGUUGUGCACAAGGAUGCACAUUGUAGAUCUGUUAACUUAAGUUUUGAAUAAUGAGAUAUGUUCAUAUGCUUUGCUCACUAUUAUUCCUAAUUUUCUCUGGACAUAAAGACUGAAGUUUAUUGCUUUUGUUCAGCCGAGUGCUACUUGAUCAGUACUUAACCAAGAUUGGCAGCCAUUAUAGCUGGUGUAGAACUCAGAUAUACACACUGAAUGUUCCGAUAUGCCAAAAUAAACACAUUAGAAUCUUUUUAAUUAUAUUCCUACUAUUUUUUCGAGAUUGCUCUGCGGUAGCUAAUUUUGAUGUUCUGCUAUACUACUAUUGCAUAUAGAGAGAGAUCAGAGAGGAGAGCAGCAGCCCGCUGCUGCAAUUUUGUUCAUGCUGCUGCUUGGUUACUACACAUCUAUACAGAGAACACAGAGAAGGCUGCUGCUUGCUGAUUACAAUUGCUUCAUGAUAUGUACAUAUCCUUAUGUAUGCUGCUGCUAUGUACCCUUGAUCAUGGUGACAAGGAAUUGAUGCUGCAGCGGUAGGGAUCUGGUGGCCAUGGAGCGGCAGCCGCUACGUACAUACAUAACUCCAGCGAGUCAUGGUGAGGAGACUUUGAUCUUUAUAUGUUAGAUUCAGAGUGGAUAUACGUUACUACAUGUAGGCCCCAUACGCCAUACGAGUUCCUCCAUUUUUUAUGUUAGCUGAUGAGCUUUCUUCUCCACUCUACACAGAUUGGUCCUGCAUGAUGCAUCCAUGGCUUAGGAUAAGAAAUGACUGUUUCCAUCUAACUGUUAUUUUUUUUCUAAAUCAAUUGAGGAGAACAUAUAAAGAAAAAACAAGUUACUUAUCCGAUUCAUUUGCGAAAUUCAGUACUUUCUUAUACUGCUCUGUUUUAGGAGACGAAAUAAAGCGAAAAAGAAAUUUCUAUGAAGGAUCUCUAGGGAGAUUUGGCACAUGAAGUUAAGGUUUGGUACAUUCGAUCUCCAAAAGAUAUGGUGAGACAUCUGAAUUAUGUUUCAUCUUCACAGACUAAUAUGACAUUUUACCUGGCUAUUUUCCCCAUUUGUUGCUGUAGCUAAUAGUGUUGAUAUAUAUCCCAUUGUAGUGCAUUCAUUUGUAAAUAAGGAUUUUAUGACCUUUGUUUGUGUUCCUGUCGUUAUCAUUAAGCUUGCCUCAUGUAAUUGUUAGCACUGCAAUCAGAUAUAAUAUUAAAUAUUUGUUGCAAUCAGAUAGUAUAUUAUCCUUCGAGUGAUCAUAGAUGUUCAAAAUGAUGUUUGUUACCACCAUGAGUUGUACUUUGCAAUCUUAGGAUAUACGACAUCUGUUUACUGCAGUAUAUUGCUACCAAAGCCCCUAUCUAUAUCACAUUUAAAAAGUAUUCUCUCAUGGCUUUGUAAGAUUUUCCUUUAUGCAAAUUAGAUUGCUUAUUAAUAGCAUUCAUAUUUCAAAUAUUCAUUGAUAUGAAUAACCAUGUAUAGACCACGAAAUGUAGUUGAUACACACGAGCCAUACAACGUUAGAUAUGAUUCUUACCUAAAUCCAGGGAAUGGCUGUAUUAAGUUAUUCAUGAUCCGAAA